CCUACGUGAGGCAGCAGUGAGGAAUAUUGGUCAAUGGACGAGAGUCUGAACCAGCCAAGUAGCGUGAAGGAUGAAUGCCCUAUGGGUUGUAAACUUCUUUUAUAAAGGGAUAAAACGAGACACGUGUGCCUUUUUGCAUGUACUUUAUGAAUAAGGAUAGGCUCACGCCGUGCCAGCAGCCGCGGUAAUACGGAGGAUCCGAGCGUUAUCCGGAUUUAUUGGGUUUAAAGUGAGCGUAGAUGGGUUGUUAAGUCAGUUGUGAAAGCUUGCGGCUCAACCGUAGAAUUGCAUUUGAUACUGGCAGGCUAGAGUAUAGUUGAGGGAGGCGGAAUUCGUGGUGUAGCGGUGAAAUGCUUAGAUAUCACGAAGAACCCCGAUGGCGAAGGCAGCUUACUAAACUGUGACUGACAUUGAUGCUCGAAAGUGUGGGUAUCAAACAGGAUUAGAUACCCUUGUAGUC
rnacentral:rRNA from 1 species